ensembl:lncRNA
UUUUGGUGUGAACGCAGGGUUAUCAUGUAUAUUAAAUGUUUUGCAGGAGUUUAGCUUGACAUUAACCAAGUUAAAGGACAAUUAAUUGAACCGCACCAAACAUGUAGAAGUCAUUGUGGUAUUUUAAUAUAUAAACAAAAACACUUGUCAGAAGUUUAAUACAUUUUUUUUAAAGGAAAGCAGAGGGAAAACAUUUUCCCAAAUGAAUCUUUUCAAAAUGUCACCAACAUUCCGAAAGCAAGUGAAGAGGUUUGUGUAAAAGCAGUCCUCCCUGACCAGCUCUGUCCCUGACUCUAAACCCUGACUCUCAACCCUAACACUAAACCCUCUGAGGGCAGGAAGACCCGCCUUCAGUGUAAAGGUUUGAACCACAGAGAAGGAAGAAAAGAGGAAGUAGUAGAGAGUAGUGAAGUAGUGAGGUUAGUGACAGACGUGAGGAAAAGGCGUGUGUGGAAGCACACGGUUACAUGUGGGGUCAAGAAGAUCACUCCCACUGGAGGUCAUUGAUCCAUCAGCCUCAGACAGCUGAGCUCAGCAGGUCUUCUGGAGGACGAGGCUCAGAUGAACUGAGGAGACGGGACCAGAAGGAUGUCAGGAUCAGGGCGGGUUUAGCUCAGGUGUGUCUACCCCCGACCAAACAGGAUCAGGUGAGGUUCAGCUCAGGUGUGUCUGCCCGGAUCAAACAAGGACAUUGAUUAGGUUCAAUAUUCAAAAGAUGCAACAUUAUCUGAACCAAAGAUAAGUCAUUAAGGAGCAGGCAGGCUUUAGGGCGCCUUGCUCAAGGACGCAUCACUGUAUUCUGAGGACUUCAACCCGGCACCAUUGGUUUGAGAGUUGAACUUCUCCAUCAGUCCUCCAGAUUCCUGGUCUGGUUACAAACGUAAUUCGUCUCUAAUGAAAGGUAACAAACACAGUAGUAGUUUGUCUCUAAUGUAAGGUAACAAACACAGGAGUAGUUGGGCUCUAAUGCAAGGUAACAAACACGGUAGUAGUUUGUCUCUAAUGUAAGGUAACAAACACAGUAGUAGUUUGUCUCUAAUGUAAGGUAACAAACACAGGAGUAGUUGGGCUCUAAUGCAAGGUAACAAACACAGUAGUAGUUUGUCUCUAAUGUAAGGUCACAAACACAGGAGUAGUUGGGCUCUAAUGGCGCGUAACAAAGUAGCAGCUGUAGUUUGUCUGGUAAACAACCA